UACGAAGGAUGCAAGCGUUAUCCGGAUUCAUUGGGUUUAAAGGGAGCGUAGGUGGCCUUAUAAGUCAGUGGUGAAAUCUCUCAGCUUAACUGAGAAAUUGCCAUUGAUACUGUAGGGCUUGAGUAUAGUUGCCGUUGGCGGAAUAUGACAUGUAGUGGUGAAAUACAUAGAGAUGUCAUAGAACACCGAUUGCGAAGGCAGCUGACGAAACUAUAACUGACACUGAGGCUCGAAAAGUGCGGGGAUCAAACAGG
rnacentral:rRNA from 1 species